UACAGAGGGGGCGAGCGUUGUUCGGAAUUACUGGGCGUAAAGGGCGCGUAGGUGGCCUGUUAAGUCGAACGUGAAAUCCCCGGGCUCAACCCGGGAACUGCGUCCGAGACUGGCAGGCUCGAAUCCGGGAGAGGGAUGUGGAAUUCCAGGUGUAGCGGUGAAAUGCGUAGAUAUCUGGAGGAACACCGGUGGCGAAGGCGGCAUCCUGGACUGGUAUUGACGCUGAGGCGCGAAAGCCAGGGGAGCAAACGGG
rnacentral:rRNA from 1 species